ensembl:lncRNA
UAUUGAAAAGAUAUUUGUUUAUUCUUUUUUUUUUUAGAUCAAGCUUUGGAAUAAGAUUUUUAUCGGGGGAGAACACCCAACAGAAAGACCCAUGAUUCACCAACUGGCGCACUGAAAGGGGAGAUUCAUGUCACCUUCAUCAGUCCUUUCUUUAAUCACUGGACACCAUUAAGGGAAAGACCCUCAGACGUGUCAUAAUAGGAUAAAUGCGGCUGCAGUUUUUGACAGAUUGGACUAGUUAACUUACUUCAACAACUUCUGGGACAAGGCCUGGUGAGAGCCACUACAGAGGAUCAUAGCCAUUGUUGGAAUUCUGAAAGGACGUGGGUGAAUAUCAAUCUGCCAAAUGAACAUUCACAUCUGUAUAUUAAUACUGAUUAUAUAUGAACUUGUUUGUUUGUAACUGGAAAGAACUUAGCUUCUAUUGUUUUUGACUGAAGGACUUGACCGUGUUUUUAAGCCUGUGUGCAUUUUCUAUUACCAGUACCUGCUCUGGCCGUGCUCCAUUUUCCAUUGCAGAUCAUACCCAGAGAUAGUACCCCUCAAUGCUGCUGGUCAGCAUAGCAAGGCCACACACAACUGCCGCGACGUACUGUUCAAUGCGACACACACACCUGCGACCCACAUACAGCUGUCUCUUGAUUUAAGUUAAAACGUUUCAGCAAUACUCAGAAUGUAAAGACAGAUACUUAAAGGUGCUCUAAGCAAUGCCGGGAGUCGUAACUUCUUGUUGACGUUCGAAUUGUUGUCAAACAAAACAGAGGCUAGCUAGACCCUCCCUCCUCCUCAUCCGUGCACUAAGCCCCCCAACCCCCACCCCCC